CUCAGUCAGAACUGUAAAACUAUAUAAUAAGAAAGAAAUUGUGAGCAUUAUGGAAAAAAGUCAAAUAAUUUUUCAUUUGUGUACAAUUGUGUGUUACAAUUUGGACAUCAUACUGCUCAUUUGACCUUAUGCAUAAUGAUGUCACAAGGCUUGAUGCCUGCGAGGAAUGCUGGUCUUAAGCUAUGGGCAAACUAGGAAACGUUGCGGAAACAUUUGUGAUUCUCGAUGUUUCCUCAGACGUUUCCCUGUUCGCCCACCCUGUUCGUCCAUGCCUGUUCGUCCGCAACAACGUUUCCUAGUUUGCCCAGGACUUUAGUAGUAAUCGCCCAGGAAAAUUAAACAAUCCAAAAUGGCCACUAUCAAAAUUUUCCUGGCCAUCAAGCCUUAAGACGUCAUUAUGCAUAAGGUCUAUUGAUUUGAUAUACAAACAUUACAGUAAAGCCUUGCCCUCACAUAAAAGAACUAGUAGGUUAAGAACCACUAGCCUGAAAUUUGGGCAAUUGAGCACCCAAAAUACAAUGUGUUGAAUAUAAAAAAGUAUAGUGUGAAGUAAGACAAUAUACGAACCACUUCAGCCUGAAGUCAAAAUUCACUGGUUCUUUU